UACGGAGGGAGCUAGCGUUGUUCGGAAUUACUGGGCGUAAAGCGCACGUAGGCGGCUUUCUAAGUCAGGGGUGAAAUCCCGGAGCUCAACUCCGGAACUGCCUUUGAUACUGGAGAGCUUGAGUUCGGGAGAGGUGAGUGGAACUGCGAGUGUAGAGGUGAAAUUCGUAGAUAUUCGCAAGAACACCAGUGGCGAAGGCGGCUCACUGGCCCGAUACUGACGCUGAGGUGCGAAAGCGUGGGGAGCGAACAGG
rnacentral:rRNA from 1 species